CGGCCGCGGUAUCCUGACCGUGCAAAGGUAGCAUAAUCAUUUGUUCUCUAAAUAGGGACUUGUAUGAAUGGCCACACGAGGGUUUAACUGUCUCUUACUUCCAACCAGUGAAAUUGACCUUCCCGUGAAGAGGCGGGAAUAAAAAAAUAAGACGAGAAGACCCUAUGGAGCUUUAAUUAACUAGCUUACUAUAAACCACUCCACACACCAACAGGCAACAACAUAACUACAUUAUANUAAGCUAGCAAUUUAGGUUGGGGCGACCUCGGAGAACAAAAAAACCUCCGAGUGAUAUAAGCUUAGACCUACAAGUCAAAGCAUACUAUCGUCAUUUAUUGAUCCAAAAUACU
rnacentral:rRNA from 1 species